AAAAAGACAAAUCCUGAUUUUCGUGCUCAACGUUUGGCCGUCCGUCUUAUUUGAAAAAGUUAUAAAAAAAAUUAAAAAGACAAGUCACGCAUAAAAUAUUAAUCAUGUUUUAUCAUCUAACAACAAUAAAAAUACGAAUUAUAAAAAAAUUUCAUAUAAAACGGAUAGUUAAAGUUGGACAUGGAAACCCAGGGUUUGUCUUUUU
rfam:Oryza glumipatula chromosome 1, whole genome shotgun sequence.